AGCGAACGUUAGCGGCGGGCCUAACACAUGCAAGUCGAACGAGAAAAUCCCUUCGGGGGUGAGUACAGUGGCGCACGGGUGAGGAACGCGUAGGUAAUCUACCGUUUGGCGGGGGACAACGCUCCGAAAGGAAUGCUAAUACCGCGUAAGACCACACUUACUAAGGUGAGAGUGGUAAAAGGUGGCCUCUUCUUGAAAGCUACCACCAGACGAUGAGCCUGCGUCCCAUCAGCUUGUUGGUGAGGUAAAAGCUUACCAAGGCGAAGACGGGUAGCUGGUCUGAGAGGAUGAUCAGCCACACUGGCACUGGAACACGGGCCAGACUCCUACGGGAGGCAGCAGUGAGGAAUAUUGGGCAAUGGGCGCAAGCCUGACCCAGCCACGCCGCGUGUGUGAUGAAGGCCUUCGGGUCGUAAAGCACUGUGGGGAGGGACGAAAAACCUCCGUUCGAAUAGGGCGGAGACUUGACGGUACCUCCUUAGCAAGCACCGGCUAACUCUGUG
rnacentral:rRNA from 1 species